AUUGAACGCUGGCGGCAUGCCUUACACAUGCAAGUCGAACGGCAGCACGGGUGCUUGCACCUGGUGGCGAGUGGCGAACGGGUGAGUAAUACAUCGGAACAUGUCCUGUAGUGGGGGAUAGCCCGGCGAAAGCCGGAUUAAUACCGCAUACGAUCCACGGAUGAAAGCGGGGGACCUUCGGGCCUCGCGCUAUAGGGUUGGCCGAUGGCUGAUUAGCUAGUUGGUGGGGUAAAGGCCUACCAAGGCGACGAUCAGUAGCUGGUCUGAGAGGACGACCAGCCACACUGGGACUGAGACACGGACCAGACUCCUACGGGAGGCAGCAGUGGGGAAUUUUGGACAAUGGGCGAAAGCCUGAUCCAGCAAUGCCGCGUGUGUGAAGAAGGCCUUCGGGUUGUAAAGCACUUUUGUCCGGAAAGAAAUCCUUGACUCUAAUACAGUCGGGGGAUGACGGUACCGGAAGAAUAAGCACCGGCUAACUACGUG
rnacentral:rRNA from 1 species